GAGAGUUUGAUCCUGGCUCAGUAUCGUAACAAGGUAGCCGUAGAGCCGUAGGCCUGAGAGUUUGAUCCUGGCUCAGAACGAACGCUGGCGGCAUGCCUAACACAUGCAAGUCAAACGAAGCCUUCGG
rnacentral:rRNA from 1 species